rnacentral:rRNA from 1 species
UACGAAGGGUGCAAGCGUUAAUCGGAAUUACUGGGCGUAAAGCGUGCGUAGGCGGUUCGUUAAGUCUGCUGUGAAAGCCCUGGGCUCAACCUGGGAACUGCAGUGGAUACUGGCGGACUAGAGUGUGAUAGAGGAUGGUGGAAUUCCCGGUGUAGCGGUGAAAUGCGUAGAGAUCGGGAGGAACACCAGUGGCGAAGGCGGCCAUCUGGAUCAACACUGACGCUGAGGCACGAAAGCGUGGGGAGCAAACAGG